rnacentral:rRNA from 1 species
AUACGGAGGGUCCAAGCGUUAUCCGGAAUCAUUGGGUUUAAAGGGUCCGCAGGCGGUCAAUUAAGUCAGAGGUGAAAGCCCAUCGCUCAACGAUGGAACUGCCUUUGAUACUGGUUGACUUGAGUUAUACGGAAGUAGAUAGAAUAAGUAGUGUAGCGGUGAAAUGCAUAGAUAUUUCUUAGAAUACCGAUUGCGAAGGCAGUCUACUACGUAUAUACUGACGCUCAGGGACGAAAGCGUGGGGAGCGAACAGGAUUAGAAACCCUAGUAGUCC